UGAAGUCAUUUUAUCCUUCAA
rnacentral:piRNA from 1 species